ensembl:misc_RNA 7SK 7SK RNA
GGAUGUGAGGACGAUCUGGUUGUGACAUCUGUCACCCCGCUGCUCUCCAGGGUUGAUUUGGCUGAUCUGGCUGGCUAGAUGAUUGUCCCCUUCCUCCUUCACUGCUCCAUGUGUGUCCCUCCUGAAGCUGCAUCCUCCGUCGAAGAGAACGACCUUCCCUGUUAGAGGAAGACUGUUCUUUGGUGAAGGGUACAUGAAUAGCAGUGUUCUCCUGCUAGAACCUUGAAAUAGGUUCUCAAGGUCCAUUUGUAGGAGAACGUCGGGUAGACAAACUUUCAAGACACGAGACACAUCCAAAUGAGGUGCUGCAUGCAGCAGUCAGCCUUUUU